UACAGAGGUGGCAAGCGUUGUUCGGAAUUACUGGGCGUAAAGGGCGCGUAGGCGGCCUUCUAAGUCAGACGUGAAAUCCCCCGGCUCAACCCGGGAACCGCGUCCGAUACUGGAAGGCUUGAAUCCGGGAGAGGGAUGCGGAAUUCCAGGUGUAGCGGUGAAAUGCGUAGAUAUCUGGAGGAACACCGGUGGCGAAGGCGGCAUCCUGGACCGGCAUUGACGCUGAGGCGCGAAAGCCAGGGGAGCAAACGGG
rnacentral:rRNA from 1 species